AUUUCACUGCAGUUUGGCGAUUUUUGGUUUAGUGUUUUACGCGUUAUUAGUGGACGAUAUGAAUAUUUGUGGGGAUGUAUCAUAAACUAUUGGAAAAUGUUAGUUUUACCUUAAAGUAGACCAGGAAGGAGCGAAAAAGGUACGUGCGCAGACUCCAAAACAAUGAAGGAAGAUGUGCGCUUGCGCACUAUACAGGUGUGAGUGAGUCUAAGAAGAAAAGUAGACGUCCUAAACCUGGUCGAGUGGCCUUGGGGAGGGGUCCAGGGCAUGGGGGUCCAGACCCUCCAUUGUCACAUAGAAAACAGCGAGGGCGUGGUCACGAUUUACCCUUUAUGCGAGAACUUGUCGAUAGAUGACCGUGGGACCCACCAGACUCACAGGGCAUGAUCUACUCAAAAACGUCCAUCUUGGAAAAAAGUGAAAUGGAAAGGGUGGGCUUAAAGUAGCAGUAGUUCCAGUGUUGUCGCAAUAUCAUGGAUUCAAAAUCAAAAUGGCUUAUGGCUAAGAAGAUGGAUAAUAUUUAGGUGGUAAUGGUGCAAAAUGGAGUAUCUUACCUUCCAACGAUGACAUCAUCAGUUACAUUCUCCAUUAUAGCAGCAGCUUCUCCAGCAACAAGGGCCAAAAGAACUGGAGCUUUAUAGAGGUUCCAGAAGAGAAAAAGCUCCCCACGACUGGCAGUGGUGCUGCCAACAUGGCCGAACAAGUUGGCUUGAGGGUUCCAGAAAAUACGCUCAAAGCAUAAAACCUGGAACAAAAGGGAUUAUUAUUUAUACAGAGGAUGCUCGGUUUCAUGAGUCUGCAAUUAUAGUAAAGAAUAAAUCAAUUGAAAUGA
rnacentral:lncRNA from 1 species